CCUGUGUCAUACAGUAGGUUCUUAUUAGUUAUCUAUUUUAUACACAGUAGUGUGUAUAUGUCAAUCCCAAUCUCCCAAUUUAUCCCUCUCCCCCUCACCCGCUGGUAAUCAUACCUUGAGGAUCAUGAGGCAAUCUCUAUGUGCCUUCACAUAAGAAAUUUACUCUACCCUAUAAGAUCUAAAACAAUCAAAGAAGAAGCGUGGAUUUCGCAUUCACAACCAUUUUUUCCUUUCAAAAACAUGCGUCCGUAACUGUGUCCCUGCAUUCAGGAGAGUUCGACUUUACAUCUGCGAGUGACUUACACACGGGGAGUGGAGGCUCAGACAGAAGUAUUUCUCAAGGACAGAGCGGUAGGAGGGCCGAGGUGAAAACCUGGUUCCUUGCCUCCGAAAGCAGCAUCUUAGCAAAGGUCAGAUGCUUUAUUUAUUAAAUCACUCACUGGACGACUUGUCAGUUGAACACACGCCGGAUGCUAGGAGAGAGAUGAAGAGCCAGUAGCCCUGACUUCAGGGAACUCACUGGACUAAACCAUUGGACGUCAGGUGUUUUCUGGUGAACCAGCCAAAUACCUUCUGGAGGGAAACUUCAAUCCCCACCUGCCUGACCGGGGGCGGGGGUGGGGAUCCUCUAGGCUCCACUUAAAUGCUUGCGAUCAGAGCACCCUGGGGUGGAGACAGCCUCCUGCCUACAUGGGAGUGGGAGAGAAAAGCCCUCUUUGUGUCCACCUUUCUCUGUCCUCACACCUCCCACAGGUCACCCGGGAACUCACCUCCGAUCCAGGCGGGACCUCCUACCCUUGCGUCUGAGAAGAGACAGCACUGCCUCCUGGUGGCCAACUCGAGGCUCUACAGAGUGGCAAGCCGGCCAGGGCCGCCUUCUCUGGAUCCAUUCGGAGAGGGAAAGGGGACAGGCUUCCCCCUGUUCUUCAGCAAAUAAAGGCAUGUGGGAUCUUAGCUCCCCAACCAAGGAUUGAACCUGCACCCCGUGCAUUGGAAGGUGAAGUCUUAACCACUGGACCACCAGGGAAGUCCCUCUGCCUUACCUGUUUGAAUGGUGCAAAACCCAGAUGAGUCUUGGAGGAUGACGGUGGGUUAUCGCACACUUAAUCAGGUGGUCAUGUCCAUCGUAACUGUAGUUCCACAUGUGGUAUCUUUUUUAAAUUUUUUUAAAUUAAUUAAUUUAUUUAUUUUUGGCUGUGUUGGGUCUCCAUUUCUGCGCGAGGGCUUUCUCUAGUUGUGGCGAGCGGGGGCCACUCUUCAUCACGGUGUGCGGGCCUCUAACUAUCGCGGCCUCUCUUGUUGCGGAGCACAGGCUCCAGACGCGCAGGCUCAGUAGUUGUGGCUCACGGGCCCAGUUGCUCCGCGGCAUGUGGGAUCUUCCCAGACCAGGGCUCGAACCCGUGUCCCCUGCAUUGGCAGGCAGAUUCUCAACCACUGUGCCACCAGGGAAGCCCCCACAUGUGGUAUCUUUACUGAAGCAAAUCAACAUUGCUCUACCACCGAGUGUACAGCUGUUGACCUGGCCUAUAUUGAUAAUUUCCCCCAUUUCUAUUAGUAAAGAUGAUCAGAAACAACUCAUUCUCUUGUGGUAGGAGCAUCAGCACACCUACAUCACCCAUCUGUCCUGCUUUGGUCCUGAGAUAGACCAGAGGGAAUUGAAUGUCUUAAUAUCAAAUCAGGUACCACAUCACGUUGAUGACAUUUUGCUAACUGGAGCUGAUGAGAGGAAGUAGCAAGGGUGAGAGGGUAAGAGAUAAGCCCCACAAGAGUUUGGAGACCUACCGUACUGAUAAAGUUUCUAGAGAUGCAGUAGCUGAGAUAUGUCAGAAUAUGCACUCUAAAGUGAAAAUAUACUGUGACACUUUGUAGCACCCAUUUCAAAGAAAUAGACAUAACUGUUGAUGGACUUUUGGCUUUUUGAAGGCUACAUAUAGGAUAUGUAAGCAUGAUCUUGGAACAUGAUUAUUGAGUAACGCUUAAGAUGGCCAGUUUGCGGAGGGGAGCGGGUGGAAAGAGUAAAGAACAAGGUCUACUGCUUAGACUUCCGUAUCAUGUCCAGGAAGUAGUUCAAGCUGUCUUGUCACUUAUGCUGUGUGUCAAGAUAUGCAACGGUAUUUCCUGUGUGAGAGGCAGAUAAUAUAUUUUACAGCAACUGAAAAAUCCCAAAGAAAGAAUCACUGCAUGGUUCCUUGGGUUUGGGAAUGAAACCAUGCCCUCUUCUGCCAGUAACUAGCCUCAAGUUGGUAAGCAGUUCCUGGCCUCCUAUUGACCCUGGUAGAAAUUAAGUGCUUGACCACCAAGUGAUUGCCCAUCAUCACUGUUUUUUCCCAAUCCACCAUCCCUGUGUGGAGCUGUAAUACAUUUGGUUACUUAUGCGUGUAUUAUGCAAAUCCAUCUGCAAACCAGACCUACCCUUUUUUGUUAACUUUUCAUAGGGAACCCUCACGAGGCCACAGGUGUGUGUUGAGGGCAAAGCAGUAGACACAGAAAUAGGCACAGUUUCCAGGUGUUGACAUCACUCAACAUAUAUGGCAGCUCGUGGAACUUUGUUGUCCCCGGCAUUGAGAACACAUUUAUUUUACUUGAAUGACAAACAGGUAAGUGAAGGUUUGGAGGGGACAGAAAGAAUGAACAGUACUGGACACUUUCAUUAUACCAUCCAAACCCACUCUCUGCCUUUCUUCCAUCUGCCUCUACCCUGGGAGGCUGAACUAGCUGGACUUCAUCCAUGGUUCCCUUGCCAUCUGGCUUCUGGUUGUUUCACAUAAAUGGGAAGCAUUGGCGGGAGACUGGACUGGAGAACAGAGUGAAAUCAGGGUACUUAUUUCCUGGAUUCCUCUGUGAUGGGUCGUUAUAUGUUGAAGUAAGUUUCUCUACCAAGACCACAGCCCCUGUCAGGAAACCCUCUGCUACAACAACAGCUACUAUCUCUGGGUUCUGGUCAACUUUUCCUCUCCUUAACCUUCAGUCCUGAGGGUAGUAAUGGUUCCUCCAUCUUGCUAGUUUAGAGCGUUUCAAGCAUCGCUCUUGGUUUCCUGAAACCCUGCUUCCAUAUUUAUAAGCAGCCUCUUCAUUAAACCUUCCUCAAUUACCCACUUGAGUAUGGCAUCUGUUUCCUGCUAGAGUGUAAGGGAUAUACAUUCAGAUCAGAUUCUCAGAGCAAAACUUCAAGUAAUUAGAAAUCAGCAACAAGCACAGACUUAAAUGGACUCAAAUUACUCAAGAUAAUAAGUUAUUCCCAUAGGAAGCUAAGACAUAUUUGGAACUGAAUAACAAGAAGUGUUCUACAUCAUAGUCAUCUAUGGUAGGACCAAAAAAAAGGGAAAUAUGUGCAUUAAUAAAAGGAAAAGAUUAAAAGUAAAUAUCUGAAGAACUUAAAAGCUUAGAAUAAGCUUUUAAAACUAGGGCAGACAUAAUAGGUAGGAAAUUAAUAAAAUGGAAAAAGAAAAAAAACAAAUGAGCUUCAACAAAAGAAAAAUUUGCUUUUUUAAAACCUCUAAGAAGAAAGAUCAAGAAGAGAGAAGAAAAGGAACAAAAAAUUUCUUACUAGUUAUCAAGACUUACAAAACUGUAGUAAUGAAAACACUAUGAUAUCAAUGCCAACAUAUAUAACAGAAAAGAAUAACUAUUAAUUAUGGAACAUUGAUAAAUGACAUUGCAAAUCAGAGAAGAAAAGCUAAGCUAUUCAAUAAAUAGAGCUGGGAAAAUUGUUUAUGCAUACAUAAAAAAGCUGAUACCUACCUCACACCACAAAAAGAGAAAAAAUUUAAUGAAUUAACUGUCAAUAUGUAAAAAUCAAACCCCCAAAUCUUACCAAAAAAUAAAGACAAUGCCUUGGGGAAAAGAAGAAAUUAUUAAACAGGUGACAAAAAUCACAAUCAAUGAAGAAAAAGAUGGAUAAGUUUAAAUUUAUAUAUGUGCAUAUAAAGCAUAAAUAAUAUAUAUAAUGUUUGCAGAACUGUGCAUGUAUUAUAUAAUCAUCAUAAAAAGGUAUUUAGUCACCCAAGAAAGUAAGCCACUACCAUGUGCUGAUAACUCUCCAAACUGCUAUAGAUCCUACAGCAAAGCUGACGUGAUCUCUGCCCUGGACCGUAUGUUGGCAGAUAAGCAAACAGGUUGAACAACGCUGCACUUAAUAACACAAUGAAAAUAUUACUGUUACUAUCAUCCACACCAUCAUAAAGGAGCUUAUUUCCAGACAAAUUAUUAAUCGAUGUAUCAAUGUAGUUGUGGUGAGAUAUGGCAGACCAGGGGGUGACCGAUUCUCCUAAGGCAUUUACCCUGUUUGUUUAGUCAUUCAGUAAGUAUUUAUUGACUGACCCUUGAAUGCCACUGUAAUAAGCCCUGGGAGAAAAGGUGAAUAAGAAACAAUUUCUCCUCCAAGCAGAAAAUCCCUGAGAUCACCGCUGGGUAGAAGCAGACGCAUAAACAGGAAGGUACAGUAUCUUGUAAUGGGCAUUAUGGUGGGGGGAACUUAUUGUGCUAUGGGGGCAUAUUGAAGCACCUACCCCACACUCUGGGGAGAGGGGUAGGUGGGUUUAUGGUGGUACUUCAAAGCCCAACAGUGAAGGCAAGGAAAAUAUUUUAAUUCAGAUAACUGAGUGAAUCAUAAGUCAGAAUUCUAAAUGCAUACAUUGCUAUAAAAUUAUAAUCAUGUGUUAAAGGCUGUCAUUCCAGUUUUGAGCCAAGAAAGUUCAGAGGUUCAGAACAAAACAGGUAUUUCAGAGACCUCAACAACAAAAGUUGCUACAGCAGGAGUUUUCUGAGGUAAGGAUAGUGCAGCAGCAGAGUAACUAUUGUUUCUUGGAAAAGCAUAAAACUAAGAGGCAAAAAUCUUGAGUCUCUGUCCUGAUUUUGCUGCACACUCACUUUCUAAAGCUUAGAGUAAGCCAAUUAUCCUCCAGCGUUUGGGAAUAACAUCACAAACAUAAUGUGUUUAUUAUGAGAAUUAGAGCAUUAAGGUUAAAGUGCUUAAUAAAGCAGUACACGAAUAUUAUUAUUAAGUGGCAUGUGCUUAUGAAGACUCUAGCAGCAUUUCUCACUGAUGGAAAUUACAUCAUCUUCAUAAUUGCUUCAUUUUGUCUUUAUUGAGGUAUAAUUUUCAUAUAAUAAACUGCACACAUCGUUAGUGGAUCAUUCAUUGAGUGUGGCAAUUUUAUACAUAAUAUAACUACAAACUUCAAAACAUCAAAAUGUAGAACCUUACCCUACCCGGAAAAGGUUGUCUUCCUAUAAAUUAAUUCUACCAAAAAAAAAAAAAAAACCCACUACUGUCCUUAUAUGUAGAAUCUAAAAUACAACACAAAUGAACCUAGCUACGAAACAGAAACAGACUCACAGACAUAGAGAACAGACUUGUGUUUGCCAAGGGGGGAGGGGGGAGGCAAGGAUUGGGAGUUUGGGAUUAGCAGAUGAGAGCUAUUACAUAUAGGAUGGAUAAACAACAAGGCCCUACUGUAUAGCACAAGGAACAAUAUUCAAUAUUCAAUAUCCAAUAUUCAAUAUUCACAAUGGAAAAAAUAUGAAAAAGAAUGUAUAUAUAGGUAUAACUGAAUCACUUUGCUGUACAGCAGAAAUUAACGCAACAUUGUAAAUCAACUAUACUUCAAUAAAAUAAAUUUUUUUUAAAAACUACUGUCCUGUUUAUAUCACCAUGCUUAUGAAGGAUUUUAAUCUGUAUUUUUCUUUUCUAGUAAUAUCCCUGUCAGAUUUCUGGCCUCAUGGUUAUACCGGUCUCAUAAAAAUACUGAGAAGUGUUUUCUCCUCCUCCCCUUUCUGGAAAAAAAAUGUGCAAUAAUGGGUGGGAUCUCCUGCAACUCACUACAUCCCAGCUGCUGAAGUGUCCAUUUGAAGCUGUGUUCGUGUCUAGGGUGUGGAUGUGAAUAAAUCAUCCUUGGGGUCAGAAAGAAAUAAACGCCAAUUUAAAUAGUUCUCUGGGCAAAGGAAGAAAAACUGGAACAGGAGAAGCAGAGAUUUCAAAGAAGGGCUAGCUUUAGGCAGAGGU